rnacentral:tRNA from 1 species
GCGAGAGUGGCGGAACAGGCAGACGCCCGGGACUUAAAAUCCCGUGGGCCUCCGGGCCCGUGCGGGUUCGACUCCCGCCUCUCGCACCA